rnacentral:rRNA from 1 species
UCGGCGACCGGCGGAAGGGUGCGUAACGCGUGAACAACAUGCCCGUCACAGGGAGAUAAUCCAUGGAAACGUGGUCUAAUAUCGCAUAGAUUGUACAGCAGACAUCUGUGGUACAAGAAAGCAGCGAUGCGGUGACGGAUUGGUUCGCGUAACAUUAGUCAGAUGGUGAGGUAACGGCCCACCAUAGCUACGAUGUUUAGGGGUCCUGAGAGGGAGGUCCCCCACACUGGAACUGAGACACGGUCCAGACUCCUACGGGAGGCAGCAGUUAGGAAUAUUGGACAAUGGAUGGAAAUCUGAUCCAGCCAUGCCGCGUGCGGGAAGAAGGUCCUAUGGAUUGUAAACCGCUUUUGUACGGGAGCAAUAAGAUCUACGAGUAGAUUGAUGAGAGUACUGUACGAAUAAGCAUCGGCUAACUCCGUGCCAGCAGCCGCGGUAAUACGGAGGAUGCAAGCGUUAUCCGGAUUUAUUGGGUUUAAAGGGUGCGUAGGUGGACUGUCAAGUCUGUGGUGAAAAGUUCGCGCUCAACGCGAAUCGUGCCAUGGAAACUGGUGGUCUUGAAUAGGGGUGCCGUUGGCGGAAUGUGAAGUGUAGCGGUGAAAUGCAUAGAUAUUACGCAGAACACCGAUUGCGAAAGCAGCUGACGAACCCUCGAUUGACACUGAGGCACGAAAGUGCGGGGAUCGAACAGGAUUAGAUACCCUGGUAGUCCACACUGUAAACGAUGAUAACUCGCUGUCGGCGAUAGACCGUCGGUGGCCAAGCGAAAGCGAUAAGUUAUCCACCUGGGGAGUACGACCGCAAGGUUGAAACUCAAAGGAAUUGACGGGGGCCGCACAAGCGGAGGAACAUGUGGUUUAAUUCGAUGAUACGCGAGGAACCUUACCCGGGCUCGAACGGUGCAUGAAUAAUACAGAGAUGGAUUAGUCUUCGGGACAUGUAUCGAGGUGCUGCAUGGUUGUCGUCAGCUCGUGCCGUGAGGUGUCGGCUUAAGUGCCAUAACGAGCGCAACCCUUGUCAUUAGUUACCAUCAGGUCAAGCUGGGGACUCUAGUGAAACUGCCACCGUAAGGUGUGAGGAAGGGGGGGAUGACGUCAAAUCAGCACGGCCCUUAUGUCCGGGGCAACACACGUGUUACAAUGGGAGGUACAGAGGGCAGCCAGUUAGUGAUAACGAGCCAAUCUCAAAAACCUUUCUCAGUUCGGAUUGGAGUCUGCAACCCGACUCCAUGAAGUUGGAUUCGCUAGUAAUCGCGCAUCAGCCAUGGCGCGGUGAAUACGUUCCCGGGCC